rnacentral:rRNA from 1 species
UGGGGAAUUGUUCGCAAUGGGCGCAAGCCUGACGACGCAACGCCGCGUGGAGGAUGAAGAUUUUCGGAUCGUAAACUCCUGUCGAAUGGGACGAACAGAUUGCGGGUGAACAGCCCGUAGUCCUGACGGUACCGUUAAAGGAAACCCCGGCUAACUCCGUGCCAGCAGCCGCGGUAAUACGUAGGGUGCGAGCGUUAAUCGGAAUUACUGGGCGUAAAGCGUGCGCAGGCGGUCGUGCAAGACAGAUGUGAAAUCCCCGGGCUCAACCUGGGAACUGCAUUUGUGACUGCACGGCUGGAGUGCGGCAGAGGGGGAUGGAAUUCCGCGUGUAGCAGCGAAAUGCGUAGAUAUGCGGAGGAACACCGAUGGCGAAGGCAAUCCCCUGGGCCUGCACUGACGCUCAUGCACGAAAGCGUGGGGAACAAA